UCCCUGGUGGCUCAGAUGGUAAAGAAUCUGCCUGCAAUGCAGGAGACCUGGGUUUGAUUCCUGGGUCGGGAA
rnacentral:tRNA from 1 species